GUCAAGUUAUUUGUCAUCAAUUGGCGUACUAGGUUGAAAAGAAGACUUAAUUGUUUUUAGCUAUAUUGGAUUUUAAAUCCAAACGGAAAUUACCAUGCAUAUUUUUGAAAUGACCAUACAGUAUAGUACAGUUUAUCUAUAUAGUGCAUACGCAUCGAAGUAUUAAAUAAGUUAUCCGCAAUUCUCAUACUCAUUUAACCGGAACGCCUUAAUUCAUUUGCAUGAUACGUCGCAGCUGCUCUCAAUUAAUACUCAAACCAGUUCCAUAAUUUGCUUUAGUAAACAAUGGCUAAUUGUUCCUGCUUACUAAAACAAACCCAAAAGUAACAAGAUACUUAUCAUAUUUAAUCAAAGAGGAUUCAUUAUAAAGACAAAUUUCCACUAUGAAAUCAACAUAAGCAUGAAAACAAUGCAUAUUGUAUAUUCCCAUGGGAAUUAAAAAUACGAAAAAAAAGUUUAUAUAACUUUAGUGUUUUGCACACUUACUAUAUGAACUCAAAUUAGCUUGAAAACAAAGGAUAGUAUAUUCCAAUGGGAAUUAAAACACGGCAUUGUUUUCUGUAUUGGCAUUAUAUUGUUUCUAAUGAUGAAAUAAUUUCUUUGUUUUGCUUGUUUUAGCAUAUGUUGAUGUCAUUGUGAAUUACAAGACUUUUAUAACCUAACGGUUAACCGAUAGUUAACAGAAUAUAAACCAUGGAUAUAGGUGAGUACGAAAAUUUUUUGUCGACAUUGGCAAUGAAAAAAGACGAGAGGUCCACCAAAAAUUACUUUUGUGAAAAUGAAACCUCGAAAGUUCUCAUCCAUGUCUAUUUUACAUAUAAACUAUGAGUCACACUGUUUAUUUUGUUUUCAGAAAACAUUACAAUCGAAAAUAUUCAAGCAAGACUCAUGUUUUAAGGUAUUGGUAACGUUGAAAAUUUCAUCUUUAAUGUCAAAUUCAAUCGUAUAUUUUUAUUUGUAAACACUUCAAAAUAAUUUUAUCCAAAU